rnacentral:rRNA from 1 species
ACAUGAAGUGGCGAACGGGUGAGUAACACGUGACCAACCUGCCCCCCCUCCUCCCGGGACAACCUUGGGAAACCGAGGCUAAUACCGGAUACUCCCUCCCCCUGCUCCUGCAGGGGGUCGGGAAAGCCCAGGCGGAGGGGGAUGGGGUCGCGGCCCAUUAGGUAGUAGGCGGGGUAACGGCCCACCUAGCCCGCGAUGGGUAGCCGGGUUGAGAGACCGACCGGCCACAUUGGGACUGAGAUACGGCCCAGACUCCUACGGGAGGCAGCAUG